GACGAACGCUGGCGGCGUGCUUAACACAUGCAAGUCGAACGGAAAGGCCCUGCUUUUGUGGGGUGCUCGAGUGGCGAACGGGUGAGUAACACGUGAGUAACCUGCCCUUGACUUUGGGAUAACUUCAGGAAACUGGGGCGAAUACCGGAUAGGAGCUCCUGCUGCAUGGGGGGGGUUGGAAAGUUUCGGCGGUUGGGGAUGGACUCGCGGCUUAUCAGCUUGUUGGUGGGGUAGUUGCUUACAAAGGCUUUGACGGGUAGCCCGCCUGAGAGGGUGACCGGCCACAUUGCGACUGCGAUACGGCCCAGUCUCCUACGGGACGCAGCAGUGGGGAAUAUUGCACAAUGGGCGGACGCCUGAUGCAGAAACGCCGCGUGCGGGAUGACGGCCUUCGGGUUGUAAACCGCUUUCGCCUGUGCCGAAGCGUGAGUGACGGUACUGGGUAAAGAAGCACCGGCUAACUACGUG
rnacentral:rRNA from 1 species